GAUAAACGCUGGCUACAGGCUUAACACAUGCAAGUCGAGGGGAAACGACGGGGAAGCUUGCUUCCCCGGGCGUCGACCGGCGCACGGGUGAGUAACGCGUAUCCAACCUGCCUCUGACUGAGGGAUAACCCGUCGAAAGUCGGCCUAAUACCUCAUGGUAUCGUCUGCGGGCAUCCAACGACGAUUAAAGAUUUCAUCGGUCAGGGAUGGGGAUGCGUCUGAUUAGCUUGUUGGCGGGGUAACGGCCCACCAAGGCUACGAUCAGUAGGGGUUCUGAGAGGAAGGUCCCCCACAUUGGAACUGAGACACGGUCCAAACUCCUACGGGAGGCAGCAGUGAGGAAUAUUGGUCAAUGGGCGAGAGCCUGAACCAGCCAAGUAGCGUGCAGGAAGACGGCCCUAUGGGUUGUAAACUGCUUUUAUGCGGGGAUAAAGUGAGGGACGUGUCCCUCAUUGCAGGUACCGCAUGAAUAAGGACCGGCUAAUUCCGUG
rnacentral:rRNA from 1 species